GCUGGGUGGGGUGGAGCAUGCCUGUAAUCCCGGUGAUUUUGGAGGCUGAGGCAGGAGGAUUGCAAGAUCAAGGCCAGCCUCAGCAAUGCAGUGAGGCCCUAAGCAAUUUAGCAAGACCCUGUCUCAA
rnacentral:sRNA from 1 species